rnacentral:rRNA from 1 species
AUUGAACGCUGGCGGCAUGCCUUACACAUGCAAGUCGAACGGCAGCACGGGAGCAAUCCUGGUGGCGAGCGGCGAACGGGUGAGUAAUAUAUCGGAACGUGCCCGGUCGUGGGGGAUAACGCAGCGAAAGCUGUGCUAAUACCGCAUACGAUCUACGGAUGAAAGCGGGGGAUCGCAAGACCUUGCGCGAUUGGAGCGGCCGAUAUCAGAUUAGCUAGUUGGUGAGGUAAAGGCUCACCAAGGCGACGAUCUGUAGCUGGUCUGAGAGGACGACCAGCCACACUGGAACUGAGACACGGUCCAGACUCCUACGGGAGGCAGCAGUGGGGAAUUUUGGACAAUGGGGGCAACCCUGAUCCAGCCAUUCCGCGUGAGUGAAGAAGGCCUUCGGGUUGUAAAGCUCUUUCGGCAGGAACGAAACGGCGAGCUCUAACAUAGCUUGCUAAUGACGGUACCUGAAGAAGAAGCACCGGCUAACUACGUGCCAGCCGCCGCGGUAAAAC